rnacentral:tRNA from 1 species
GCCCCUAUCGUCUAGCGGCCCAGGACGUCGCCCUCUCACGACGAAAACAGGAUUCGAUUCCCCUUGGGGGCGCCA